UUUCCUCUGAAAAAUGAGAAACAAAAGGAAGUUAAUUGCCCAGUCGAGCUUCUCAGAUGCUGCAAUGUCUUGUUUUCACAUGAACAGAGAUGCACCAAGAGUAAAGGCAUUGUACCAAGAGCAGUCUUGGUUGAAGACACUGAUCUCAGACACCCAAGUGGGAAGAAAGGCUCUUGCGUGACAUGAGCCUUGGGGGUGGAGGAAUAAACAAUGCUCCUCGGUGUGGCCUCAGAUCUAGCAAAAGGAGAAAAGAAAACUAAUCAGUUCAUGUGAUGCAGCUUUGAGCAGGUCGCCUGUGGUACAAAGAGAAUCCCUUCAUGAGAAAGGCAAAGCUAAAGCAGCAACCUCAGAACAACAUGGAUUCUGGAGAGUGGAAGAGCUUCAUGGCUUUGUCCGGAUCAAGACCUGAGCGUGGAAGAUGGAGGUGCUCUCGAUCCAAGUUUUAACCUACCGAGUUCCUGAUAUGGUCCCAUCAUCGUUGAGAGCAUCAUGCAUCAUGGCAUUGCAUGCUAGCUCACCUGGUAGGGCCACUUGUGACUCGGUUCCA